AGCGUGCCUAAUACAUGCAAGUAGAACGCACAGGAUGCACUUUAGUUUACUACACCGUAUUCUGUGAGUUGCGAACGGGUGAGUAACGCGUAGGUAACCUGCCUGGUAGCGGGGGAUAACUAUUGGAAACGAUAGCUAAUACCGCAUAAGAACAUUUGCUGCAUGGUAGAUGUUUAAAAGGUGCAAGAGCAUCACUACCAGAUGGACCUGCGUUGUAUUAGCUAGUUGGUGAGGUAACGGCUCACCAAGGCAACGAUACAUAGCCGACCUGAGAGGGUGAUCGGCCACACUGGGACUGAGACACGGCCCAGACUCCUACGGGAGGCAGCAGUAGGGAAUCUUCGGCAAUGGGGGGAACCCUGACCGAGCAACGCCGCGUGAGUGAAGAAGGUUUUCGGAUCGUAAAGCUCUGUUGUUAAGGAAGAACGUGUGUGAGAGUGGAAAGUUCACACAGUGACGGUACUUAACCAGAAAGGGACGGCUAACUACGUGCCAGCAGCCGCGGUAAUACGUAGGUCCCGAGCGUUGUCCGGAUUUAUUGGGCGUAAAGCGAGCGCAGGCGGUUAGAUAAGUCUGAAGUGAAAGGCAGUGGCUCAACCAUUGUAGGCUUUGGAAACUGUUUAACUUGAGUGCAGAAGGGGAGAGUGGAAUUCCAUGUGUAGCGGUGAAAUGCGUAGAUAUAUGGAGGAACACCGGUGGCGAAAGCGGCUCUCUGGUCUGUAACUGACGCUGAGGCUCGAAAGCGUGGGGAGCGAACAGGAUUAG
rnacentral:rRNA from 1 species